rnacentral:tRNA from 1 species
GCCCGGAUGGCGGAAUUGGUAGACGCUCAGGACUUAAAAUCCUGUGAUGGCAACAUCGUGGGGGUUCAAGUCCCCCUCUGGGUA